rnacentral:lncRNA from 1 species
AUAGAGACACAAGCACAAUGCAAACACCACAAUAUAUAGUGGUUCGGUGCUCUCCUUAGCACCUACGUCCACUCCCCAAGCGUACCCUUGGGAUUUCACUAUAAUCACGCGGAUUACAGUUGGAUUGUUUUCCGGGCUCACAAUCCAAAAACCUUGUUGGUUUUGCGGGCUCACCAACGAACCUAUACACUUGGUUUUCCNNNNNNNNNNNNNNNNNNNNNNNUUUUGCGGGUUCACCAACGAACCUAUACAACUUUGGUUUUACGGGUUCACCAAAAACCUUUGUUGGUUUUGCGGGCUAACCAACGAACCUUUACAAAGUGUUUAAGCAAAUGAAAAUAAAAGAUUUAACUCCUAAAUGAGCAUAUAAGACAAUAUGAACAACAAAGAAGAGUUUAGAAGGAAGUUAUCGCUUUGAAGUUGCUUUGCUCUUCUUUGUCAAGGAAGCUUCACUCUUCAAUGGGGGAAGGAGCUCUUGAUGCCUCUUUGAAUGUGCUCAAUCCUUUCCUUUGAUUCUUGGAUGAAGCUUCUUGAUGAAGGAGAUUAGGGCUCUUUAGUAUUCUUGUGUAUUCUUUGAUAAACCUCUCAAAAGAUAUUUCUCUCUGAUGAAUAGUGCCCUUUAAAUAGCCUCCCACCUUCUUUGGUCAAGCCCCAUCCGUCAGAUUUGAAAAACUAGCCGUUACAAGCCUUGGAAAGGACAAAAAGUACAUCUGCAGAACUAGCCGUUACUGUUCAGCCCGUGGUUGGGUCGGCUCAUCCUGUCCUUGGGUCGACCCAACUUGACCUUGGGUCGACUCAAACAUUCCUUGGGUCGACCCUCUCAGAGAACACAGAAACAUGAAUUUCAAACUUCCUUCACUUGGGUCGACCCAACCAUUCUUUGGGUCGACUCAAAGUCUGCUUGGGUCGACUCAACUUCUUCUUGGGUCGACCCUCUCAGUAUUCCCAGAAGAUCAAUUUUUGUCUGUCUUUCUGUCUUCAAUUUGGGUCGACCCUCUCAGAGUUUGGGUCGACUCAAAGUU